rnacentral:rRNA from 1 species
GCAAGUCGAACGGUGAAGGGGCCUGCUUUUGUGGGUCCUGGAUGAGUGGCGAACGGGUGAGUAACACGUGAGUAACCUGCCCCCUUCUUCUGGAUAACCGCAUGAAAGUGUGGCUAAUACGGGAUAUUCUGGGUCUGUCGCAUGGUGGGCCUGGAAAGGUUUUUUUCCGGUGGGGGAUGGGCUCGCGGCCUAUCAGCUUGUUGGUGGGGUGAUGGCCUACCAAGGCGGUGACGGGUAGCCGGCCUGAGAGGGUGGAC